rnacentral:rRNA from 1 species
UACGGAGGGGGCUAGCGUUGUUCGGAAUUACUGGGCGUAAAGCGCACGUAGGCGGCUUUGUAAGUUAGAGGUGAAAGCCCAGGGCUUAACCCUGGAAUUGCCUUUAAGACUGCAUCGCUAGAAUCGUGGAGAGGUGAGUGGAAUUCCGAGUGUAGAGGUGAAAUUGUAGAUAUUCGGAAGAAACACAGUGGCGAAGGCGACUCACUGGACACGUAUUGACGCUGAGGUGGCGAAAGCGUGGGGAGCAAACAGG